rnacentral:rRNA from 1 species
UACGUAGGGUCCGAGCGUUGUCCGGAAUUAUUGGGCGUAAAGAGCUCGUAGGCGGUCUGUCGCGUCGGCUGUGAAAACCUGGGGCUCAACUCCAGGCCUGCAGUCGAUACGGGCAGACUAGAGUUCGGUAGGGGAGACUGGAAUUCCUGGUGUAGCGGUGAAAUGCGCAGAUAUCAGGAGGAACACCUAUGGCGAAGGCAGCUCGCUGGGACGUUACUGACGCUGAGACGCGAAAGCGUGGGGAGCAAACAGG